rfam:Ovis aries breed Texel chromosome 12, whole genome shotgun sequence.
UCCCUGGUGGCUCAGAGGGUAAAGCGUCUGCCUGCAAUGCAGGAGACCUGGGUUCGUUCCCUGGGUCGGGAA